GAGUUAUACCAACUUAAUUCAUUAAAAAAUAAAGUUUAAUUUUUUAAACAUAAAUAGUCAUUUAAAAUGAAAUACAAUAAAUAAAGAUAAAAUUUUUAAGUCUUUUAUAAAAUAAAGCACAAAUAUAUGAAAAUGUGACAUGUACUAAAUAUUUGUUAAUUGAAAAAAAACAAAAAUAAACCCGCGCUUUGAAAGCGCGGAUCAAAAUCUAGUACUUAAGUUAAAACUCAAUCAGGCCCAAGGUCCAUUACAAUAAGUUUUUUGAGCACUCUUUAGGCCAAGGCAUCAGCCUUUUCGUUGUUCUUAAGAAGAAUAUGAAAAAAGAAGACAAAACACAAAACUUGAAGAAAGUUCAUGGACAUCUUGAUGAUUCCCACGAUUUCCUUAAUAGUCUAACCGGUAACCAUCACAUAAACAUUGGAAACGGAUAUGAAAUAAACAGAAAGGAAUAAAAUUAUAGGAAAAAUAAGAGAUAAUGAUUCCUUAUCAUAUUUAGUGAGGAACAAAUUUGUUUUAUAUUUCUCUACAAUAAAAAGAACAAGUAAGAUUGAUCAAAAAAAAAAAAAAAGAACAAGCAAGAAAGAAAAGGAAAAAUUAUUCUUUAUGAAUGGUAAAAUUUCUUAGGAAUAUUAAGUAAUGCAUUGUUCCACUUCACAAAUCAUAUCUAUAUUUGUGGAUUCAAAGACAGAAGUGAGUAAUAAUUUAAGAUUUUUUAGAGAUCCGAUUUUUUCACCGAAUUUCGUCAAUUCGCCACGCUUGAAGACCGGUCGGAUACAGCUUUUCCCGCAAAUUAGGUGGCGCAUUUUAGAAAAGGGAUCUAAUCUAAAUUUUGGAAAUCCAUAUUUAAGAAUCCAAAUUGAUUAGAAAAUUAAUUUUAAAACACACUCACUAAACUCUCAGUAUCUAUACUAUACUAAAAGCAAGAUAACAAGCCCUCUAAGCUAUGCCACAUCAGAUGGAAAAUUCAACCAAUGAAAGAAUAGAAUGCUGCCAUGUCGUAAUAUCUUUGUUGACUGAAAAGAGGAUACUUGGCCUUCCGUGUGGUCUUCAUAAAAUAAAUCAUGGCCCAGGUCAAGCCCAACUUCCCAAAACCUCAUCUCAUCGAUCAAUCCGUCUCUUCCAGUUCGUCUUCAACGUCUCUGUUACUUUCACCCACUCCGGAUCAACCAAUUAGAUCCCUCAAAUCAGCCAUGUCAUUUAGGUGAGCUAAACAUUUUCAGUUUGAUUGCUGAAACGAUUCCUCUUUUUUACUCUACAAAACAUAUUUUAAAUAAAUCUCUUAUUUUUCUUGGCCAAACAAUGAUUAUAUUAAUCAGAACUUAUUCCUUUCUGGGAAUAAUUUUGCAGAGACGAACUGCCUUCCAAACAAACGUAAUAAUUCAGCUUCUCCUUUCUACCCAACCUAGCUAUAUGAACUGAUGGAUGAUUAUCCAGCCGGAUUCAACAUGCAACCAGUGCUCAAAACUGGCCUCAAGCGUCUAUUUGAUCAUCGGCCGUUUACUAAUGUAGUUGUUCAAUUUCUGAGAAACCUUUCCUCGAUGCGAUGGAUCGGAGUACGAGCCAAUUUUCGUUUGUUUAGCGAAGAUUGUUCAGAACUUCGUAGAGGAGAACACCCGGAUAGGCAAACCAAAUAUGGCCGCUACCGCUGCAGUUGGUUCAUCUCAAAUAUGAUUUUCGACACUGGUACUCCCUGUGAUGCAUCCGAUCAUACCUUUUACUCUAGCCUCUUGCUCUCUCUCUCUCUCUCUCUCUCUCUCUCUCUCUCUCUCUCUUGAGUAGUAUAUUAUCCAAAUUGUAAUCUCUAUCUUAUCAGAUUUUGAUUCCAUGCGCGAGCAUCACCGAGAGGAACAUCGUAGCCGACGCGUCUAAGAUUGUAGAGAAGAACAGAUCAGUGAAAUGAAAAGAGGAUAUGAGGAAUAUCAUUAAAGAGUGACUCUUAUCUCUAAACUAUGAUUCUUAAGUCUGCAAGUUGUAAUGGGAAAAGUCUCCUUCUUUCCAAGCUGGUAACAUUUCUUUUCUCAAACCUACUCUUCACCAAAUCUAUGUGACUGAUGAACUAGCACUUGCUAAUUUCAGAUGAAUGAGUACAAGUUUGUUUGACUUAAUGUAUCUUUCGAGUAGAAUUGUGCUUUAGAGUCAUGUGUAUGCUUCACAUUUGUUUCCCUCUUGAAAUAUUUUCAUAGAGUAGUUUUUUUAUUGCGAAAACUCAUUUGUGUUAAAGAAUUGUACAUGUCUAUUGGGUUUUAGGUAAGUGACAAGUUAUUAUAGGGAUAUAUCACACUCUCUUUGUGCAUGAUUGUCUUUCUUUGGUUUAGAGAUACAAUACUACCACUGGCUGUUUUCAUCCAGCUGUCUUACCUUUGGAGUUUUUUCUUUAUAUGUUGGAGUUAGCAUACUCUAUCUCGGUUCCAUGGAAAUUCUAUUAAUGUAAGUUGUGCCUAUCAUGUGUGAAUUAAAAUCUCUGUUUGUAUUUUAAGUUUGAGCUAACAGUUGUCUGCUCCAUAAGUUUUUAAUAGGUGUGUAUCCUAAAUAAUUUUCACUGUGUCCAAAAGCUUCCAGAACAUGUUGUUGUUUCUCUCAUUUGCAGGGAUCAAUUCCUUAUAUCAUGUUUUUGAACAUUACUGUGAACGAUUAGUUUGACCUACUUCCAUUAACUUCUUAGCAAUCAUGAAUAUGUUAGUAUCCCCUGUUGUAGAUAUGGGCUUCCACUGAAGGUGAAAACUUGGGAGUGACAUACACUUAAAUGUUAUCCUCUCAUUGGGUUUUAUAUAUAUGCAUAAUGUAACUAAUGAGUUUUCACCAGCUAAUUGGAUAUAGGGUGCUGGCUCUCUGUUGCGUGCAUGAUGCAGAAGCCAAGCUGGUCCUGCUAUGUUCCUGCUACGUUCCUGCUACGAAAACUGAUAAACCAUUCAGUACCUCACCUGGUUGGGAGGCAAAGAAUCUGCGAAGCUGAUAGAAAAGGAAUUAACAAGAGUGUAAAACCAAGCUAAUAAACUUAAUUUACACAGUCAUGACAUCAUUGUUUACAGUUAUGUUCGUGUACUCAUUGUUUUUUCUUUUAUAUUCAUUUCUUUUUAGUAAUUAAAACAAUUAAGAUAGACAGACCAGAUCUUAACUAAAGGUAUUGUUAUACUGGUUUUAGAUGACUCUAGCUUUCUACCUUUCCAUUUGGUUGAGUGUUUUGUUCUGAGAACAACGACAUUUGUUCUGAAGUUUUAAUCAUCACUUAUUAAACCAUUUACUGGAUAUUGUGUGAAAAGCAGGGAACAAGUUUACAGUUUACUACUUCAAAGGCUCACGUUAAUAGUUUAUAGGAUUGGCCUAGAUAGUAAAGUUUUUUUUUUUUUUUUGGGAUACCAUGAUAACUGCUUUAAGCAUCAUGGCCAACAUAUGUAAAAUCAUAACUAAUUUAGUGGAACAUAUCCUUCAAUAUACAGUAAAUCCAUUCGGUUAUCAAUCAACAUGAGAAAGAAAAACCCAUAAGUAGCUCAAAAUAUUUAUGUUUGUUUUUGUUGCACCGUUCAGACUUUGUCUUAAUUUCCUAAAUAAAUAUUUCUUUUAUAUUGACGAAUAAGUGGAACUAAAAGUUAUUUUUACCAGAAUAUGAUUCAUAAGAAAAAAAAAUUAAUAGAGGAUUUGUCAACGCAAAUAAAAUAAUAAAAAAUCAUUAAGACAAAUUCCAGUUGAACUUAGAUUUGAUGAUGUAGUAGCAAAUUUUAAUACAAUAAUAAGUAAACAAACAUUGUUCAUUAAGUGAUAUUAAUUAAAAAAAAUCAUUUUAGAAGAAUAACUUUGUGUACUAUAUAGUAACACUUGAGACAAUCUACAAUAGUUUUUGAUUAAUGUUAGUGUUUCAGGAUAUAAUUUUGGCACAUUAGUUUUAUGUACUUCAUAUCUAAUUGUUAUUAUCAUGUGUAAGGUUAUUUUUCACACCAACAUUAAAAAUAUGUUAGUUUCUCAGGACUUUUUAUUAAAAGAUAUGUGGAUGUGGAUUAUUAACUAUACAAUUAACAAACACAAUAACUUAUAUAAAUAGCAAUUAAAUAAUAUAUAUUGUUUUUAAUUUAUACAUUAAAUAUAUUAAUUUAAUAACUACAUAAAUUUAUUUGGUAAAACAUAACUUUAAUUUUAGUAAGGUAGGUUUUUAAAAUACAUGCUAAAAAAAUAAUCUAAAACAUAUGUAAGAAAAGAACACAAUAAGAAAAAACACAUAAUAUAAAAAUAAUCAUAUAUAAAUACAUUACAAUUCAGAACUGUAUUAAAAUAAAAUAUAAAUAUAAUUCGCAUGUAGCAAAAACGAUGCCAAGGUUUCAAGUAGUGUAUUCAACAUCUAUUUCGCUUUCCAUCGUCUCAUUUAUAUAUAAAACAUUUUGGCAUAUCAAAUAACUAUACGCAAUGUUAUUUUACCAAACAAAAUUUAUAUAACUAUUUAGCGAUGUUGAUUCCUUUUUACAAAAAAAAAAACUAUUUAGCGAUGUCAAAAACUAAAAAAAAAUAACUAUUUAACAGAAAGGUUAGUUAUCAUCUUAAAAUCAGUCAAUAUUUUAUUUCGGGUAAGUUAAUAAAAGUUAUUUGAAGCUUCAAGAAAAAUAGUAUGAAACAACUUUAUACGUAUAUGUUUGCCAACAAAAAAAAUAUUUAUAAUAGAUUUCAAUUUGCCAUUUCAGCAAGUUUAUUUUUAGAAUUUAAAAAAUUAUUACAUGAAUCUAUACAGGGCCGUGCCUGACUUUUUUGGGCCCCCAAGCACAAAAUAUAUUUUUGGCCCUUUAAUUAUUUAUUAUGAAAAAACAUUAAAAAUUAUGGAGCAAAGAAUCGAACCCCCAAUCCUUUGUAGGAAAAAAUUGAACAUAGGCCAGUAGAACUAACUAGAUUUUGUUAAAAAAAUUGGCCCUUAAAAUACUUAUACAUAUCAAGGCCCCAAGCAUGUGCUUGAUCAGCCUAUAGUCAGGCACGGCCCUGAAUCUAUAUAUAAAAUAUUUUGUAAAUGUGGAUACAUUUGCUUAACUAAACGAAACAAAACAAAACUAAAUUCAUAAAUAUCCAAAUAAAUCAUAUAUUUCUAGAACCAAAAAAAAAAACUGAGCCGAAACCAAAAC